GGCACUCUCCUGCACACACACACACUCACACACUCAGACCCUCACACUCCAGGGCUGGGCAGGGGACCCCGGACCUGGCCUCUGGAGCUCAUCCCUGGGUGCCUGGGCACGGAGUGCCGGUCACACUGUGCACCCAUCCUUGUUUUCUCGAUGUUGGGUUUACUUUUCCUGCCGGCUGCACGGCCUGCCCUUCUCAGGGCUUUGGGCUACUCUGCAGGGCUGGUGUUCAGGGCAGGAAAGGGAAAGGGGCAGUGGAGAGGGAGUGUGUGCUGUAGAGGCUAAGACCCCAUUUGCACUGAGCCCUUCCAUGGCUGUUCAACUCUGACGGGAGUCCACUGAGGCUCAGGACGCCUCUGCAGGGUGCCAGGGCCACGCAAGCUCCACAGCACGUGGACAAAGGCGCAUCUAAUCCUUGCAGGCAGAGUGGCUUAUUAGACACGUUAGCAGGUCUGUCUGUGCAGCCGGAAGGAAGAAAGUGAAGUUAGAUGCCCACAUGUGACUUGGCAUCCAGAGGCACAUUCCAGAUGGCGACCCGGGGCUCCCUGGUGUGGUCUGGGGGCCGGUGGGGGCCGAGGGGCUGCUGUGGGUCUGUGUGGAGAUGGAUACCGAAAGCCACAGGACGUGCUUAGGGACUUGCAUGGCAAUUUGGCAGGGCCGUUCCCAGCGCAAAGAAAGGCUGUCGGAGGUGCAGGCCACGCUCAUCACCCGCAUCUGACCCCACCAGGCAUCCCACAAAUGUGACCCUUAUGUGUCUGUUAAAAACUACACUUAACGUUUUUUAAUUCGAGAAAACCUAUCUGUUGCUGUUAUGUACAGUGCUGUAAUCAGCAAACGUGUUCCUUGGUCAUUUCCGCAACAGAACACAGUGGGAGGGGCCUGCUCUUCCGCAGCACCCCAGGCAGGCCUGGACCGCCCGAGUGGCCGUGGUCCAGGGGCGCGGAGGGCGCAGCGCGUUCCGUUUCGGCUCCUCUGGUGCGUGCCUCGUGUGCGUGUGAGCAGAGGCCGUGUGGAUGCCGGGCGCCCGCCGGUCACGGGCUGGUGGGCAGAGAGGUCAUGACCUUUUACUUUCUAGGCCUUUACGUAUCGCAACGUGUGCGUUACGUUCAUCAUAAAAACGUCCGACGAAACCAAGAGCAAAGUGAACUUAUUGGUGAAAGUUGCCAUUGGGACUUCGGUGCCUGCUGAGAAAUGCCUGGGCCUCUGGCUCCCCCUGGCGGCCGGUCCCUGGCUUGACGGAAGCGCGUCGCGCGGGCUCCAGACGUCCUGGGCCAAGUCCUGUGCGCGGGGCCUCCGGGUCUGCGAGCUGCGGCCGUGUUCAGAGCGUGUUUUGCCCGGAGCUGCUGCCAGCCUGGGCGGCUUUGGGCGCGUGCAGCAAGCAGGGUUUGGAUUUGGAAGUGCAGCUCGUCCUGGCGCCAAGCACAGAGCCUGGCCUCUAAGAUGCUCGGGAAAUGCCGCUCUCUGCGCCCCUGAGUGCUCAGUGCGAGCCUGUGAAGUCCAUUACAGUCUCCGGCUGUGAAUGUAGCAAGGAGUGGGAACUAGGCCUGGGAGAUGGGAGUGUUUGUCUGAUGACUUCCUGAGCGAAAGCAAACUGGGAAAUCUCGGGCUGCGCGCUGGUGCCCCGACUCCGCACCUCCCACCCCUUCUGUGGGGCCAGCACCCAGAAAGCGCCAGCGGAGGCUGGCAGGCCGUGGGCCGCAUGGGCGGAGGGGCCGGUCCUCCGAUGAUGGGGCAAACGUCUCCGGCCUAGCCCCCGACGCUCGGGGAUGUAAGGGCAAGGGCUGCGGGGUCGGAACGUCGGCUGUGGCUGUGGCUGUGUGACUGCUCCGCACCAGCUCAGCUUCCUCACCUGUGCACACAGGCUCCCGCUGGAAUUUGCUGCGUUCUCCAAGCUCUGCAAGAUUCAGAAGCAGAGGCCUCCCUGGGCUCUCACAGCCCCUUAGCUUCUUGCCCACCCACGGAGAGGGUCCAGAGCUGCCCCUUGCUGUCUGUGAGGAAAGCGGGUGCUUCAGGCCUGCCAGGGGUCCACUGGGAGUUGCUGGGUGGGCUCCUCAGGCCCUGCCCAGGGCUGACCCCUGGCUCCAGGUCCUGGGCCUCCGUGCCAUGUUCCCCGCAAGCAGUCGGGGCCUGCUGGGGUUUGAGCCACGUUCCCCGGAAGCAGUCGGGGCCUGCUGGGGUUUGAGCCACGUUCCCCGGAAGCAGUCGGGGCCUGCUGGGGUUUGAGCCACGUUCCCCGGAAGCAGUCGGGGCCUGCUGGGGUUUGAGCCACGUUCCCCGGAAGCAGCUGGGGCCUGCUGGGGUUUGAGCCACGUUCCCCGGAAGCAGUCGGGGCCUGCUGGGGUUUGAACCACGUUCCCCGGAAGCAGUCAGGGCCUGCGGGGGUUUAUGUCACACCCUGGCUGCACGUGGGGAUCGUGUCUAAGCUUUUUGGAAAUGUCGAUGCCGGACUCCGCCCCAGACCUGGAGCUAGGAACUGGCCCCUGGCCAUGGGCCCAGGCAGGGUGAGGUUUCCCAGCACCCUGGGUGAUCUGAACUUGGGAGCAGGGCUGGAACCUGGGGGCAAGAUCAGCACUUCUAGGACGUUAUCGUGCGUGGGAACCACGGGACGCUCACUCAUAGGAGGCUCAGCAGUUCUCUCGCUGUGCCGAGGCUGAUGGAGACCUCACUGCUUGCCCCCGGGAUGCAAACCCCGGGGACACCCGCCUUUCCGCUCCAAGCUCUGCCCACCGCCUCACAUGGCCCUGGGAAUUACAACAGACUUUCCCAUCUCCCCACUAUGGGCGGAAUCUGCUGCAGCUGCCCAGACCUGGGGUCUUGCAGGUUCUGGACACCACAGCUCCCCUACACACAGAGGCUGCUCCUGCGUGGCCCUGGUCCCUCACCUCUACUUCUGGCACACGCUCCUCCACCUGCUGCCCUUCAGGGUUCAUCGAGGUCUUAUUUUGGUUCUGUACUGGGAGAGGGGGAAGCAAUGGGGCAAGACGCUGCCCCUACUGUCCCCAGAAGAUGAGGGACAGCACAGAUGCCCAGCCUUCAGGGUCGAGGUGUGGGAGACCCGCGGAGAGGCAGCCCAGAGCCACCCGCCACGGGCUGAGGCCUAGGGUGGCCAGAAGCAGGAGGGACGCCUCUGACGAUUGAACAGCCCGGAGCCUCAAAGCUACGGUUGGGGCCUUCAGCCCGGAAAUGAGCCCCCCUCUUUGCCCCCUGAUGAACCAGUUUCCCCUGUUCACGUGUGGAUGUUUGUACCUUUUUAAAAAAAGAAAAUAAAAGACCACACUAUUUAGGAAUUUAAA